GGGCGCCGGCCACUGAGCCGCACGCAGAGUCGCGAGGCCGGAAGGAGCGCGGCGCCGCCCCACUCGCCCCAACCGCCGCCAUGAAAGCCGUGGUGCAGCGCGUCACCCGGGCCAGCGUCACAGUUGGAGGAGAGCAAAUAAGUGCAAUUGGACGGGGAAUCUGUGUGUUGCUGGGUAUUUCUCUGGAAGAUACACAGAAGGAACUGGAGCACAUGGUCAGAAAGAUUUUAAACCUGCGUGUGUUUGAGGAUGAGAGUGGGAAACACUGGUCGAAGAGUGUGAUGGACAAACAGUAUGAGGUGCUGUGCAUCAGCCAGUUCACCCUCCAGUGCGUGCUCAAGGGGAACAAGCCUGACUUUCACCUGGCAAUGCCCACAGAGCAGGCAGAAAGCUUCUACAACAGCUUCCUGGAGCAGCUGCGCAAGACCUACAGGCCGGAGCUCAUCAAAGAUGGCAAGUUUGGUGCCUACAUGCAAGUCCACAUUCAGAAUGAUGGGCCUGUGACUGUAGAAUUGGAGUCCCCGGCACCUGGCGCUGCUGCCUCUGACCCAAAGCAGCUGUCAAAGCUUGAAAAACAGCAGCAGAGGAAAGAAAAGACCAGAGCCAAGGGGCCUUCCGAAUCAAGCAAAGAAAGAAACGCCCCCCGAAAAGAAGACCGCAGUGCCAGCAGCGGGGCAGAGGGCGACGUGUCUUCUGAGCGGGAGCCGUAGACUUAAGGAUGGAACUCAGAACGUUGUGUGCAAGACCUGUGUGGAGGUGGAGAACCUGUCCUUACAGAGGCGUAAGUGCAUUAUCAUCGGGUGGAACUGGAUCCUGAAAAAUUCAUGGAAGAUGCUAAGUACCUACACUGCUUU